rnacentral:rRNA from 1 species
GAUGAACGCUAGCGGCAGGCUUAACACAUGCAAGUCGAGGGGUAACAGGGAAGAGCUUGCUUUUCCGCUGACGACCGGCGCACGGGUGCGUAACGCGUAUAGAACCUACCUUUUACAGGGGAAUAGCCCAGAGAAAUUUGGAUUAAUGCCCCAUAGUAUUAUUGAAUGGCAUCAUUUAAUAAUUAAACAUUUAUGGGUAAAAGAUGGCUAUGCGUUCUAUUAGCUAGAUGGUAAGGUAACGGCUUACCAUGGCAACGAUAGAUAGGGGUCCUGAGAGGGAGAUCCCCCACACUGGUACUGAGACACGGACCAGACUCCUACGGGAGGCAGCAGUGAGGAAUAUUGGACAAUGGAGGCAACUCUGAUCCAGCCAUGCCGCGUGCAGGAAGACGGUCCUAUGGAUUGUAAACUGCUUUUAUAUAGGAAGAAACCUUUCCACGUGUGGAAAGCUGACGGUACUAUAAGAAUAAGCACCGGCUAACUCCGUGCCAGCAGCCGCGGUAAUACGGAGGGUGCAAGCGUUAUCCGGAAUCAUUGGGUUUAAAGGGUCCGUAGGCGGACUAAUAAGUCAGGGGUGAAAUCCAACAGCUUAACUGUUGAACUGCCUUUGAUACUGUUAGUCUUGAGUUAUAUGGAAGUAGAUAGAAUAUGUAGUGUAGCGGUGAAAUGCUUAGAGAUUACAUAGAAUACCGAUUGCGAAGGCAGUCUACUACGUA